AUGGUAGCUUGCUACCAGGCGUCGAGCGGCGGACGGGUGAGUAAUACUUAGGAAUCUACCUAGUAGUGGGGGAUAGCACGGGGAAACUCGUAUUAAUACCGCAUACGACCUACGGGAGAAAGGGGGCAGUUUACUGCUCUCGCUAUUAGAUGAGCCUAAGUCGGAUUAGCUAGAUGGUGGGGUAAAGGCCUACCAUGGCGACGAUCUGUAGCUGGUCUGAGAGGAUGAUCAGCCACACCGGGACUGAGACACGGCCCGGACUCCUACGGGAGGCAGCAGUGGGGAAUAUUGGACAAUGGGGGAAACCCUGAUCCAGCCAUGCCGCGUGUGUGAAGAAGGCCUUUUGGUUGUAAAGCACUUUAAGCAGUGAAGAAGACUCUUCGGUUAAUACCCGGAGACGAUGACAUUAGCUGCAGAAUAAGCACCGGCUAACUCUGUGCCAGCAGCCGCGGUAAUACAGAGGGUGCAAGCGUUAAUCGGAAUUACUGGGCGUAAAGCGAGCGUAGGUGGCUUGAUAAGUCAGAUGUGAAAUCCCCGGGCUUAACCUGGGAACUGCAUCUGAAACUGUUAGGCUAGAGUAGGUGAGAGGGAAGUAGAAUUUCAGGUGUAGCGGUGAAAUGCGUAGAGAUCUGAAGGAAUACCGAUGGCGAAGGCAGCUUCCUGGCAUCAUACUGACACUGAGGCUCGAAAGCGUGGGUAGCAAACAGGAUUAGAUACCCUGGUAGUCCACGCCGUAUACGAUGUCUACUAGUCGUUGGGUCCCUUGACGACUUAGUGACGCAGCUAACGCAAUAAGUAGACCGCC
rnacentral:rRNA from 1 species